GGGCUGGGGCUCAGCGGUAGAGCGCUCGCCUAGCAUGUACGAGGCGCUGAGUUCGAGCCUCAGCACCACA
rnacentral:tRNA from 1 species